AGGACGAACGCUGGCGGCGUGCCUAACACAUGCAAGUGGAGCGACGAACCGGGCUUCGGCCCGGGGCAAAGCCGCGAACGGGUGAGUAACACGUGGGUAACCUGCCCCGAUGAUUGGGACAACCCGAGGAAACUCGGGCUAAUACCGAAUGUGCCCUCCGGCCAUAAGGCCGCUGGGGAAAGGAAGCUUCGGCCUCCGCAUCGGGAUGGGCCCGCGGCCCAUUAGCUUGUUGGUGAGGUAACGGCUCACCAAGGCAACGAUGGGUAGCUGGUCUGAGAGGACGAUCAGCCACACUGGGACUGAGACACGGCCCAGACUCCUACGGGAGGCAGCAGUGGGGAAUCUUGCGCAAUGCGCGAAAGCGUGACGCAGCAACGCCGCGUGGGGGAAGAAGGCCUUCGGGUUGUAAACCCUUUCAGUUGGGACGAAGCUCCGUCGGUGAAUAGCCGGUUGGAGUGACGGUACCUUCAGAAGAAGCCCGGCUAACUACGCGCCAGCAGCCGCGGU
rnacentral:rRNA from 1 species